AUGCGCACUAUAUCUCCAGUGCGCAUUCAUAGCCCGGUGCGCUCUGUGCCUGCGCCCCGCAUUUGCCGUGCUAGAGUGGGCAUUCAGCCAGGAAGGGUUGUGCCGGCUCAGCGCUCCUGGUCUCCAGUACGCCUCCUCAGUCCAGGAUAUCCUGCGCCAGCUCUACGCACCUUGUCGCCAGUGCGCAUUCACAGCCCAGUUCGUCCUGUGCCAGCGCCCCGCACUUGCCGGGCUCAAGUGAGCGUUCAGCCAGGACGGGUUGUGCCAGCUCUAUGCUCCAGACCCCCAGUGCGCCUCCACAGUCCAGUAUAUCCUGCACCGGUUCUACGCACCAGGUCUCCAGUGCGCCUCCACAGUCCAGUACGUCCUGUGCCUCCUCCUCGCACUCUCCCUGAAGUGCGUGUCCUCAGUCAGGUACAUCCUGUGCCUGCUCCUCGCACUUGCCCUGAAGUGCGUGUCACCAGUCUGGCGAUACCUGUUCCAGCUCCACGCAUCAGGCCUCCAGUGCGCCUUCCCAGUCCAGAGCUUCCGGCGACGGUCCGCGGUCCGGAGCCUCCAGCGGGGGUUGCCAGUCCGGAGCCUCCGGCAACGAUCUACUGUCAGGUUCCUCCGGCGACGGAUCCAGGGUCUGGAGCCUCCUGCGACGGUUCCCGGCCCGGAGCCUCCGGCGACGGUUCCCUGCCCGGAGCCUCCAGUGGGGGUUGCCAGUCCAGAGCCUCCGGCAACGAUCUAAUGUCAGGUUCCUCCGGUGACGAUCCAGGGUCUGGAGCCUCCGGCGACGAUCCACAGUCCGGUUCCAUGAAAGUGGGGGAAGCCCCAAGCAGAGGGGGAUCGGCGUCCCGCACCAGAGCCUCCACCAAGUGGAGAUGCCCACCCGGACCAUCCCCUAUAGGUUCAGGUUUGUGGCCGAAGUCCACACCUUUUGGGGGGGUACUGUCACGCCCUGACCUUAAAGUUAUUAUUUACUCUCUAUGUUUGGUUAGGUCAGGGUGUGACUCGGGUGGGAAUAUCUAUGUUUUCUAUUUCUUUGUUUUUUGA
rnacentral:lncRNA from 1 species